AUUGAACGCUGGCGGCAUGCCUAACACAUGCAAGUCGAACGCGAAAGAGGGGCAACCCUCGAGUAGAGUGGCGGACGGGUGCGUAAUACGUAGGAAUCUGCCCUAGAGUGGGGGAUAACCUGUCGAAAGACGGGCUAAUACCGCAUAUACUCUGAGGAGCAAAGGUGGCUAGCAAUAGCCUUCGCUUUAGGAUGAGCCUACGUCGGAUUAGCUAGUUGGUAGGGUAAUGGCCUACCAAGGCGACAAUCCGUAGCUGGUCUGAGAGGACGAUCAGCCACACUGGAACUGAGACACGGUCCAGACUCCUACGGGAGGCAGCAGUGGGGAAUAUUGGACAAUGGGGGAAACCCUGAUCCAGCAAUGCCGCGUGUGCGAUGAAGGCCUGCGGGUCGUAAAGCACUUUCGUUGGGGAAGAAAUGCUCAAAGAUAAUACCUUUGAGAGUUGACGUUACCCAAAAAAGAAGCACCGGCAAACUCUGUGCCAGCAGCCGCAGUAA
rnacentral:rRNA from 1 species